UACAGAGGGUGCAAGCGUUGCUCGGAUUUACUGGGCGUAAAGCGUGCGCAGACGGCUGAGCAAGUUGGACGUGAAAGCCUGGGGCUCAACCCCAGAAUUGCGUUCAAAACUACUCGGCUCGAGUAUGGGAGAGGGAAGUGGAAUUCCUGGUGUAGAGGUGAAAUUCGUAGAUAUCAGGAGGAACACCAGCGGCGAAGGCGGCUUCCUGGCCCAUUACUGACGUUCAGGCACGAAAGCGUGGGGAGCAAACAGG
rnacentral:rRNA from 1 species